rnacentral:rRNA from 1 species
UACGAAGGGGGCUAGCGUUGCUCGGAAUCACUGGGCGUAAAGGGUGCGUAGGCGGGUCUUUAAGUCAGGGGUGAAAUCCUGGAGCUCAACUCCAGAACUGCCUUUGAUACUGAAGAUCUUGAGUUCGGGAGAGGUGAGUGGAACUGCGAGUGUAGGGGUGAAAUUCGUAGAUAUUCGCAAGAACACCAGUGGCGAAGGCGGCUCUCUGGGACGGUACUGACGCUGAGACGCGAAAGCGUGGGGAGCGAACAGG